AGAGUUUGAUCCUGGCUCAGGACGAACGCUGGCGGCACGCUUAACACAUGCAAGUCGAACGGACUUGAGAGGGCUUGCUCUCUUAAGUUAGUGGCGGACGGGUGAGUAACACGUGAGCAACCUGCCUUUAAGAGUGGGAUAACGGUCGGAAACGACCGCUAAUACCGCAUAACAUACACGAACCGCAUGGUUUGUGUAUCAAAGAUUUAUCGCUUAAAGAUGGGCUCGCGUCUGAUUAGCUUGUUGGUGAGGUAACGGCUCACCAAGGCGACGAUCAGUAGCCGUACUGAGAGGUAGAACGGCCACAUUGGGACUGAGACACGGCCCAGACUCCUACGGGAAGCAGCAGUGGGGAAUAUUGCACAAUGGAGGAAACUCUGAUGCAGCGAUGCCGCGUGAGGGAAGAAGGUUUUCGGAUUGUAAACCUCUGUCUUAAGGGACGAUAAUGACGGUACCUUAGGAGGAAGCUCCGGCUAACUACGUG
rnacentral:rRNA from 1 species